AACGAACGCUGGCGGCAUGCCUAACACAUGCAAGUCGAACGAGACCUUCGGGUCUAGUGGCGCACGGGUGCGUAACGCGUGGGAACCUGCCCUUAGGUUCGGAAUAACUCCCCGAAAGGGGUGCUAAUACCGGAUAAUGUCUUCGGACCAAAGAUUUAUCGCCUUUGGAUGGGCCCGCGUUGGAUUAGCUAGUUGGUAGGGUAAAAGCCUACCAAGGCGACGAUCCAUAGCUGGUCUGAGAGGAUGAUCAGCCACACUGGGACUGAGACACGGCCCAGACUCCUACGGGAGGCAGCAGUGGGGAAUAUUGGACGAGGGGCGAAAGCCUGACCCAGCAAUGCCGCGUGAGUGAUGAAGGCCUUAGGGUUGUAAAGCUCUUUUACCCGAGAUGAUAAUGACAGUACCGGGAGAAUAAGCACCGGCUAACUCCGUG
rnacentral:rRNA from 1 species